UGCUCCAAUAGCGUAUAUUAAAGUUGUUGCAGUUAAAAAGCUCGUAGUAGAAUCUCUGGUGUGACGUGCCCGGCCCGUUGCUUCGCAACCGUGUGCUGGAUUACGUCCACCAUCCUUCUGAAAAACGGCUCUACCCUUGAUUGGGCUCGGGUCGGGCUUCAGAUCGUUUACUUUGAAAAAAUUAGAGUGUUCAAAGCAGGCGUUUCGCCACUGAAUACAUUAGCAUGGAAUAAUAAGAUAGGGCUUCGGCGCUGUUUUGUUGGUUUUAUUGCGUAGAAGUAAUGAUAGAUAGGGAUAGUUGGGGGUGCUAGUAUUCAGCGGCCAGAGGUGAAAUUCUUGGAUUCGUUGAAGACUGACUUUUGCGAAAGCAUUCACCAAGGAUAUCUUCUUUUAUCAAGAA
rnacentral:rRNA from 1 species